AUUUUUCCAUUAAAGCUUGUUAGGAAUAGAUAAUUGUUACUUUUUGUAUAUACAAUUAUCCAUUUUUAUCAAAGUACAUCGUGACUAAUAUAGAAAUUUACUGAAUUUCUUUCUAAGUUGGUCGGGCCAACUUAUCCAUUAGGUAUAUUGAUAAUUAUAUCAAAAUAAUACCUUAAGGAAAGAAUUCGAACAGUACCGAUCGAGUGAUCAGUGGCGGAGAGAUACGUAUUGGAUUUAAAUUACUUUGUCAUCAGAUCCGGAAUUUGCUUAACGUCCGAAGUACAAAACGGAAGUUGAAAGAUAUAUUGACCAAAUGGUGCCGAUAUCAUUUGGCUAUAUCUAUACACACGCGCUAAAUUAUUGUGGGUAUGAAACAACACACGCUAUUCAAGCGGUGUACUAGACGUCAAAGAUCGCCAUACUUUACCCAAGAACAUGAUUGUAGCAGCACGGCCCCUGUUUGUUUUGGAUAGUGUUGGUAACCAUCUGAAUGAGAAAAUAUUGGAAAAAAUAAAUAAAUACAAUGAAUACCUAUCAAAACGCUGGAACGGUGAUGCCACGAACGUGUAUAUAUUAGAGUUAAGGCGGAUUCCCACUCGAGGCGCACCGCCGCAGAUUGCCGAGUCGCAAACGCCGAUAUGCCCACUAUUCGUUCCCCCUCAAUGAUUCAAUUAAGCGUUGGCGGUAAACAACUGACGGCAUCAGCCAAUAGUCGGUAAGAAUAGUAAUCCGCCAAUCACCAAUCACCGCCAUUGUAUUCAGCACUUUUCUGAUUGACUAAUCUCAGCAGCCAGUUGCUAUGUAAAAGCGCAGACGUUGGGAGCUAGCAACGUUUGCGCUUCUAACAAGUGGCGCAAGAUCAAGUUCUGUCGCUAGGAAAACGAGCUCCUUUCUGCGUUUGCUGCAGACUUCACCCCAAGUGGGAACCCGGCUUUAGUGAUACCAGCCCUAUUACAUAUCUCUAUGUUUCCCCAAGACAGCUGAAUUUGUAAUCAUAUGAUAAAUAUUAUUUGAAACAAAACAGGAAAAUCUUUGAAAUAAAAAGUACUACAGUUUAUGGGAAACAGAAAACUUGCUUUUACUUAGCAUUUCUAUUUAUAGAUACAAUAAAUGGCUUGGAGGCAAUGUAUACACUCACGUCGUGCCAAAACGACGCCAUUGAAUGUCAGGUAUAAUAGUGAAAAUCAAUAUUUUUUUAAAUUUACACAGCGUGUAUUCGGGCAGAAGCUUUGUACACGAAUUAAGUUAAACUGAUUAACAAUUUGUAUUCUUAUAUAAUUUAGCAAUAAUUACAAUUAAAUGAAUAAUAGCCACAUGGAAC
rnacentral:lncRNA from 1 species